rnacentral:misc_RNA from 1 species
GCAAACUUGGUCAUUUAGAGGAAGUAAGAGUCGUAACAAGGUUUCCGUAGGUGAACCUGCAGAAGUAUCAUUCAUAAUAGAGUGUUUUCUGGCACUCUAAAAAAAAUCCACAUCCACCUUGUGUGCAAUGUAAUUCUUCACAGGUUGGGAAUUUUUUUUUUUCCUCUUUAAUCCUGUGGGUUUUCCAUAUCAACUCUUUUUUAAACUAAAUUGUCUGAAAAAGCUAUGAAUUUACUUAAUUCAAAACAAUUUUCAACAACGGAUCUCUUGGCUCUCGCAUCGAUGAAGAACGCAGC